GUCACUACCAGUCCUCCCUAAAGACUCCCAAACUUGUCUGAUUUUGGAAGCUAAGCAUGGUUGGGCCUGCUUAAUCCUAGCACUCAAGAGGCAGAUGGAGGCA
rnacentral:rRNA from 1 species